GCCUUGGUGGUUCAGUGGUAGAAUUCUCGCCUCCCACGCGUGAGAUCCAGGUCUGAUUCCUGGCCAAUGCA
rnacentral:tRNA from 1 species